rnacentral:rRNA from 1 species
AGUGAACGCUGGCGGUAGGCCUAACACAUGCAAGUCGAACGGCAGCACAGUAAGAGCUUGCUCUUACGGGUGGCGAGUGGCGGACGGGUGAGGAAUACAUCGGAAUCUACUUUUUCGUGGGGGAUAACGUAGGGAAACUUACGCUAUUACCCCUUACGCCUUCCGGUUGAAAGCAGGGGAUCUUCGGACCUUGCGCGAUUGAAUGAGCCGAUGUCGGAUUAGCUAGUUGGCGGGGUAAAGGCCCACCAAGGCGACGAUCCGUAGCUGGUCUGAGAGGAUGAUCAGCCACACUGGAACUGAGACACGGUCCAGACUCCUACGGGAGGCAGCAGUGGGGAAUAUUGGACAAUGGGCGCAAGCCUGAUCCAGCCAUACCGCGUGGGUGAAGAAGGCCUUCGGGUUGUAAAGCCCUUUUGUUGGGAAAGAAAAGCAGCAGGUUAAUACCCCGCUGUUCUGACGGUACCCAAAGAAUAAGCACCGGCUAACUUCGUG